ensembl:lincRNA
GAGUAGAUACAACAGAAUGUUCGCUCUGUUGCUUUCUUCUGCUAAUCGUAGCUCUUCCUUUACCAGGUUUCCAGCCUGUCACAGCUCCCAGCUCUUCCUGCACAUUCAACAGGACGUUGGGGGGAUCUGUCCAUCUGCAACUGACUUCACGGCCCUUCUUGAGCCCUAACAUUUGGGAGAUUGAGUGGAUUUGGAAUUCUGAGUCUAAGAGAAAACAUUUUCUGGUGUCCUUGAAGCCUAAUAACUCUAAUCCUCAAUGGUACAACCUUGAAGAAAAAUACAAGCAUAGAUUCUACCUGACAGAGAUGUCUUCCUUGAACAUCCGGGAUCUCACUAUGGAAAUAGGUGGACUAUAUGUAGCGACAAUCAAAUUCUCCUCAGGAGAAUCCCAGCAAGAAUCUUUUAGAGUCUGUGUAUAUGAGCCCAUCCCCCAGCCCCAAAUUGUGAUUCAUUCAUCAUCCAACACAUCAGGCUGGUGCAAUGUCAGCCUGGAGUGUGGGACCCCAGGGGCUACAGAGAACCUGGCAAUAACCUGGCUGAGCAAGGGCUUCCCCAGGGAGCUGGAACAGAGAGAGACACUGGUGCCAGCCGCCAACUCCAGGAAUCUAAGCCUGAGCCUGCCCCUGAGCCGGUUGAAUGGGCACCUCACCUGUGUGUUCAGCAACCCUGCGGACCAGAAGAAUGCAACCUUAGACCUGGAGACCAUCUGUCCUUGGAGGGGUUCUCCUCAGAGCAAAUGGCUUUGGAUAGGCCCCAUCCUCGUCCUGGUUCUGAUGGUGAGCUUGGUGGCCGGAGUGUGGAUCUGGAAGAGGAAGAAUACGAAGGCUGAGAGAGGUGGGUGCUGGGGGAGGGGCCAUGGAGGGAUGAGGCCCCAGGGAGGGAUGAGGCCCCAGGGAGAGGGACAGGCUGGGAAGGACAGUGGGCAGAUAGAGGCUCAGCGGCCUCUCCGUGGAUCCCUGGCAGAAGGCUGGGGAGCAGUGCUGGGGGGGGGCAGGUGUGUGAAGGACCAAGAGGAAAGGGUGGUGCAUGUCCGAGACACAGCAGGCGUCCGGGACCCGCAGUUACAGCUCAGGGAGCAAUAGCUGCCCUCACGCUGGCUUCAAUUCCACAUACCUUCAUUGAGCACCUGCUGUGUACAGGUGGGCCCGCUUUUCUGCCCGAGGAGCCAAGCUCGGCAGCUGCUCCCCAUGUCCUUUCCACGGAGAAAUUUGCUGACUCACAGACUGGAGAGGUCAACAGCCAUGAGCCUCCCUACGCAGAGAUCGGCCUCCUGAGACACCCUAAGGUGGGUCUGAGGGAAUCAAAUCAGGCCAGCUGGGAGGUCCAGGGCACUCUGCCCCGCCGUGAGGCUCUGGGCCCAGUCCUUGCCUUGGGCGAUAUGGCUGCAUGCCUGUGCGCGUGUGUGCUGUGAGUUGUGGUGCAAGGGGAGGAGACCUGCUCCUAUAGCUCCACAUCCCUAACCUCAUCAGGAAAGAUGGCAGAGCAGGGCAGAGGGGGACCGAGGCUCAGUGAGGUGAGCGGCUGGCCCACGGGCACACCAGCUUGCAGUGGAGGAAGUGGGACGAGAACCCUAGAGGGACUCACCAUCCACCGGCUGAAACUCGGGCCCCAGAAGAGGCAAGAGUGUAAAUGACCAGGUGUCAGGUGAGACUGACUGUGCAAGACCCAGCAAGAGUCUUGCAGCAGGGUGUGGAGGAGGCGGAGACAGCAGGCCCCCACCCUGGCCCCUCUGCCUCCUACCUGCCUGAGCCUCUAACAUUAAUGCCACCACUUUGUGUAAAGGCGUGGCCGCCCCCACUUGAAGCAAUGCCGCUGGGAGAGCAGCUCACGCUGGGCUCCUGGCCCUUGGCUGGAAAUGGGUGCUAUGGUCCCAGAUGGAAAGAUUCUGCUGAGGGAGGAGCCUUGGUGGGGGAGAGCGAGACCCAGACGAACACUGGGGCUUACCCAGAGAACCUUGACAAGCACAAGGCCGAAUGGGGGCCCCUCACUCCCAGCCCAGUGCCCUGUCCACUGUCCCUAUCUGCCCCAGUGCCGGUGGCUUUGUGGCUUCCCAUCUCAGCCCUUCUGUGUCAUUUCCCCACCUGACCUGGGCUGCAGGGGACUCAGGAAAUAUAAAAACUCCUUGGGAUCCAAGCCCCAAUACCCCCACCCCCGCCAGAGACACACAGGAGGGGGCCGUAUGUAGCUUUGGGAUAGAGAAACCAACCUGGUGGCAUCCAACCCAGAUACUCAGCCCUGUUCCGAAGCCCCCUGCCGCUGGGGAGUCUCUGCCCCUGGGGAGCUCCUAGGCUGCUGGAGAAAAUGAGCAGCUCCCAGACACGCAGACAGCACAGAAGAGGGAGUGGGGAGAAGGAGCAGAUCAGGAGGGAUGGGCGUGAGACCCAGUUCUGACGCUGACUUCUUGUUCAGCCUUGAAAGGUUACUUUACCUCCCUGGGCCUCAGUUUUCUCUUUUAUAAAAUGUGGAUUAUGAUAAUAACAGUAAUACCUUACAUUUAGCAGGCGCUUUGCAGUUUUCCAGAGCAACUUUGCAAUGAGAGCAGUCAAGGUGACUUACAAAUUUGUCCAAGGAGUGUUUAUCUUCCUAUGAAUGGAAUUAUUCUGAUCUGGGCUACAGAAUUCCAUACCAAAACAAGUACAAACCAAAAAAAAAAAAAAAAAAAUCCUUGCCCUCACAGAAUAUGCAUGCUACUGGGGGUGGGUGUGGGUAGGGAGAAUGACAAAUAAAAUAAAUAAACUAUGAAGUGUUAGAUGAUGAUAAAUGCUAAGGAGAAAAUGCAGCAGGGAAUGGAGGAGGGGACAUGAUGAUGGGCUGUCAGAGCAAGCCUCACCGAGAGGAGAGCCUGAAGGAGGUGAGGGAGAAAGCAUGUGGAGGUCUUGGGUGGUGGGAGCAGAGGGGUGGCAUCCCGGGCAGAGGACAGAACAAAUGCAAAGACUUGUAGAGCUCAAGUGAGGCACCUGGGCUGAAGCUAGAUUUGGGGGAGUUAUUAGGGCUAAGAGACCCAGAACUACUUGGCUGAGGACAAGAAACACAUGAAGAGAGGUAGCCCAACUGGCCCUUGAACAUAGUUCUUAGAGGCUGAGCAAGACCACUCCUCAAUCCCACUUGAACUGUAGAACAACAUGGAGGAGAGACGCUUCCACGCACAAAGCCCCAAGCUGACUCCAGAAACCCACACCAUCUAUGAGAAGAUCCGGCUGAGCCCAGAGGCCGUAGGGGAUACCUAGACCAUGAAGACACUGGAACAAUGAGGGGCCUUGGUAAGAUCUGCUACACCCCACCUUUCACCCAUGGGUCCCACUAUGCUUCUUUACGGUGGAGCUGGAACUAGACCCCAAGUCUCCCUGACCCCUCCCACUGAGACAACGGGCAGCAGGAGCUGCCCCCUGGUUUCCCCACGGGUGUGAACAGUGACUCUGCUAUUCAAACAUUGAAGCAUGAAAGGCAAACCCUUCAGCGGUCAGCCGGCCUCUGACCUCUGGCCUUUGACCGACUUAAUGCCCAUUAGUGCAUACUCUUGGUCGGGCAGGACCCGUGCUGGCAUGGUCAGGGUGCAGAGAUGCUUUCACAGAACAGGGGGGGUCCUGGGCCUGAGAAAGAUGAGCCUUGGGUGGAGGACCUUUAAGAUGUCGCCACUACCCAGGGACAGAGAGGUAGCCCUUGACUGUGGAAAAGCAGGAGGCCUGCAGGUACAAGAUUAGGGGCCCGCUGCAGUGUAGAAGUGAGUGAUGGGAAUGGGAGGGAAUAUUUCUUUAGCUCCACUAUCUACCAGGCUUAAUUCUAAGUGUACUAAAUAUGCUAUCUCAGGAUUUCUCAAAAUUCAAGUAACUCACAGACCCUUUCCCUUUUAUUACGUAACAGAAGUCAAAGGGCAUGUCAUUGAAAUUAUGAUAUUUCGCCAAUUUUGUUGCUGUAGUACAUGUGGUCUUGUUCCCUAUAUAUCCUCUUACUGGUUGGUUAAAGUAAUAUGCACAAAAUACCAUGUUUCCCUGAAAAUAAGACAGGGUCUUAUAUUUAUUUUUCCUCAAGAAGACACCCUAGGGCUGAUUUUCAGGGAAUGUGUUAUUUUCUCUUCAAAGACUCAGCUUGCAGCACGCAUAGGAUGCUUGAGACCUGACAGGGGGAGCCGACCUUGUUGGCAGGGCUGCCCGCACCUUUCCAGUCACCUCUGGGAUAGUAGCUGUCGCGAUGGGGCAGAUGAGAAGGGCUGCUCCUCUUCUUUACUGCUCGGAUGUGAAGUGCAUGGGUUGUGCAGAUGGGUUGUGCAGAUGGGUUGUGUAGCCACGCCCAUCACUAGGUCUUAUUUUCGGGGUAGGGCUUAUAUUGCACAAAUGUUUAGAAAUCCUGCUAGGGCUUAUUUUAUGGGUAGGUCUUAUUUUCAGGGAAACACGGUAUAUUUAAAAACAUGCUAAAUCCUAUCAUUUGUAAUAGUUUUUCAUUUUAAUUAAGUUGAAUUUCUGUGUAGAUAACCAUAUUAUCAACAAAUAAUUAUAAAUUUUGCUUGUUUCCAAUUUUUAUGCCUUAUUCCUUUCUUUUGGCUAAUUGGGUUGACUAAUACCUCGAAAACUGUGUUAAAUAUUAGUGAUGAUAAAAGAUAUCCUUGGUUUGUCCUUAACUUUAAUAUGAAUACUUCCAAUGUUUCUCCACCAAGCGUGAUGUUGUUUUUUGGCUAAGGCAUAUAUAUUUUAUCAUGUUCAGAAAGUAUGUACCUAUUCUCAUUUUAUCAAAAGUUUUACCAAAAAUAAAACGUCAAAUGUUGUCAUUUCCCUUUCUGCAUUAGUGAAUAUAUUAUUUUUCUCUUUUUCACACAUUCAUAAUAUAUUAAUAGAUUUCCUAAUAUUGAACCUUUCAUGUAUUAUUGGAAUAAGCUCCAGCUGAUGUAUUAUUCUUUUAAUGUGCUACUGUUGGAUAAUAUUUUUAUUUGGGAUUUUUGUAUCAUUAUUUGUAAAUGAAAUUCUCCUGUAGUUUUUUAUGUUUUACUUUGUCAGUCUGGUAUUUAUGUUAUGCUUAUUAAGAAAUCAUUUUAUUUUCACUUCUUAUAAUAACUCAAUAAAAAUUGGCCUUGUAGUAAAAAAAUACCCUACUUAAAGAAAAGAAUUCCCAUCACACAGUGAUUUAUAUUAUUUUUAUUACAAUGUUACUUUAAGAUAUACAAACAUGAAACUAUAUAUAAAUGUCUUAUGAUAUAGCUUUUAUGUCAUAAACUAAAACAUGUAUAUAAUGUAAAUAAAAAAACUAAAGCAAUGAAGCAAUGGUUAUUUUAACUAAUGUUCAAACCUACAAAUUUAAUGUACUGAUGAUAGAUGUUUUUGUUUUGGUGAAAUUUGAUGUUAGGCUAGUUUUUUCCUUAAAUUCUAAUGUCAAUGAUUUAUUUUCAGCAUGAAGCUUAAAGCAAUUCAACUUGGAG